UUGCUUUUGGAGGUACAUAGACUAAAGUUGGAAGGUUACAGAGAUUAGCAUGGUUCCUGCGCAAGGAUGACAAGAGAACAUAUUUAAAAAAAAAAAAAAAAA